UAUGGGGUAUACCUGAUAGCAUUAAUGCCUUUUUACGACAUGUGCACUGACUCACUAAAUAAAAUGUCCCCUGUACAGGUAAUCCGUGUUUAUUGGCAGUAUUGAGAAAUUCAAUUGCAACGACAUCCGGUGGAGAUACAAUGUAGGACACACAAAAGAAAUGAGCACGUUUUCUGCUGUCAAGUACUCUAGGCUGAGUGGUACUGAGGAACAUGAAUUUACUAACACCUGUAGUAGCACACAAAAUAAUUACGGAACAUCCGGAUCACUGGACCAAAUCAUUAACGGUCACCUUAAUCCACUAGAUGUCGUAAAGACCGAAUAUCCACCAUCAAAUGAUAAUGAUCUCAUUCGUGUUCACAAACCAUUGAAGGACAGAUUAAAAUUCGCAAUUCCUGUAUGUCUUUUAUGCUUCAUUCCGACUGGAAUCAUGGCUAUCGUCUAUGCAUUACAGUCCAGAACGGCGUGGAAGCGGGGUGAAAUCAAGUUGGCCAAAGAGAAAUCCAGCAUUUCUAAAGACUUCAUUCGAGCAUCAGUGUGUAUAGGAAUGUUUAUGUACAUUCUCAUCUUAGUAGCUGUUUUAUUUUUGGUCACUUUACACGUGCAUUCUUGAAAUCCGGUAAAUACGAAGACUGUUCUGAUAGUUCAUAGACAAACGUAUCCAAUACUUAAAAAUAAUGCAUUUUACUAAAUCAAAUGCAAAUGUUUACAGUAAAGUAAGUUAUAUCAUAAAGUUGAGAGACGGCGCUAUGUCAAAAACUAAAAGCUAAGAUCAUCAUAAGGAAUUUCAAACUACAACCAUUAAGAAAAGUAUGUUCCAAAAAAAAAUUUUGAAAGGAAAAAAUGUAUAUAUGAUAUUCGUAAAGGCUAAUUCACACCCCCCCCCCCCCCGAUUUCUUAGUUAUACCAUUUUAUCUAGAAAUGUUGUAUCAUGGUUUGCAACAGAUGAAGUGAAAUGUUUAUGUGAAUAAAUUAACAAUAGAGGUGGCGCACUGUCAACUAAAACCUUUAGAGACCUACGAAUAUGAUGACACAAAGAAACAAGAGGCCCAUGGCUCACAUCACUCACCUAAACAAAUCCCAACGAAGACCAUAUAGAUUAGAUUGCUCUUAUUUAUGGUCAAUAUUGAGCCUGGUAGAUAGGCUAGCAGUGAUGUAUUUACUUAAGGGAUUGUUAUAUCAAUUUUUUGUUUGAAAAAUGUAACUGACAUUAAUUAUCAGUAAUUGAUAAUAAUUACGCGGGGGUGUUAAGGAAGCAUAUGGAAUCUGAGUUACAUGUAAUUCCGUGAAAAUCACAAAUCUUAGUUAUUAUGUACAUGUUCAAAUAUCCAAGCAACGAAACGUAGACCAAAAACAAAUAAAGAUACUGAAGACAGUUUUUUUUUUUACAGAAAUUAGUUUGUAUUGCGUAGAUUUACACAUUGAUGACGUCAUGACUAAAAGUUGAAUGUCCUUUAAAUUUGAUCGGAAAGCAUUGUAAACAUAUCCAAAAUAUAACUUAUCUAAGAACUCUAAUAAAGUUUUGUGGUGUGAUUUAUUGAGAAUUGAACAUAAGAAUACUGGGAGAGAAGUUAGUUUUAUCAAUCAUUCGCUAAAAUGUAUGUCAAUUUACUUUUAUUUCUCGGUCAGGCUUUCCCCUGUCGUUGUUUACGAUAUAAAAAUCAGACUAGAACAACACUACCCCGUAUAUACUGAAUUUGUUUAUACGCAUCGUUAGUUUGAUCAAUGCUUAAAUUGAAAAGUGCUGCUAGAAUUCCAUGUUGUGUGUUGUUUUGAUGCAACAUACCGUUUUCCGUGCUAACUUUAAAAAAGUUGGGAGGGUUUUACGAGAGCCGGAUGAAUAACUAUUUAAUCAAGAAGAACAUAGAAUUCUAGCAGCGGUUAUGAUUAAACUGAGAUGUUUUGCCUUCACUUGGUAUGUUUAUUUUAUUUUGGAAACCGCGGGGUUGUGUUGUAUUAUCUCAUUUUAUGUUAAGGAAUAUACGUAAGCUAUUUAUAGUUUAUAUUUAUAGUUAUUUAUAGUGAUAAUGCACCAAUGUGGCAGUAAUGUAAUACCCGAUUUUAUCGCACUGACAUCUAUUUUAAAGGAUAAUACUAAGUUUUUGAUCUUAUUCAAGAUAGUUAUUUAAUUUCACGAUUUUUAAUAUAACAGUCAAAAUAAGACGCUAAAUUGCCCAUAUGCUUCCUUAACAUCCCCGCGUAAGACGGUUUUUCCUUGAAAUCAGAUAAGAUAAUAUAAAAUAAUAAUAUAUUUUUCUCACUCGCUAAACUUGUUUUCUUUACACACAUAUAUUGUAAGAACUCAUUAUUUGUAUAAAAUAUGACAUUGAAUAAAACUAACAUGAUUAUAUUCAGACCCCUGAUCAAGUGUUCCACAGUUCCCAAUAACAGGUUUUGAACCAUUUUAAGAUAAACUAAAUGUGUCACAUACAUGUAAUUGGAAAAAAAAUGUGUGUGAUGAGUACUAUUGUACAGUAUGUAGAAUACACCACAGGAAAUGAAAUAAUUGCAAUAAUCAAUGUGUAAUUAUAUUAUAACAUGUAUAUAACAAGACAUUUUCCAAGGUCAACGGUUUUUGAUCCGCUCCGCUCUACAUAAACCCUUAACCGAACUGGCAAUACAUGUGCGGGUUAACUAUUGCUCGAUCUAUCGAGAUAACACAUUUUUUAACGUUGGUGACCUCUUAUUUUGACCAAUAAAAAAAGUUUUUUGAAAAAGAAAUGCUUAGAAACAUGGCUGCGCCCAUUUACAAGUUGUAUAUAGAAAAGAAAAGACGGAUUUAUUGGAACUAAAAGUCAACUAGAAACGAGCUUGUUGCAAAGCAACGAUUGGGUCUUCCGUCGCAGCUGCGUCAUACUUGUGACGAAAUACAAAAUUGAUUACGUUGCUAUGAAACAAUGUUAGAUGUAUAGACCCUGAAUUCAACAGACAAAUGCUUUCGAUUUGAUAUACGUAAAAGUUUGUUUCAAGAUGAUUUGUUUAUGAAAUACAAUUGCUCUGGAGCCAUAAACAUGUACAUUAAAGUUAAUUGAUAUACUA